rnacentral:rRNA from 1 species
AUUGAACGCUGGCGGCAUGCCCUACACAUGCAAGUCGAGCGCGAAAGGGGGCAACCCCGAGUAGAGCGGCGGACGGGUGAGUAAUACAUCGGAACGUACCCAGUAGUGGGGGACAACCUCGAGAAAUCGAGGCUAAUACCGCAUACGACCCACGGGUGAAAGCGGGGGACCGCAAGGCCUCGCGCUAUUGGAGCGGCCGAUGUCCGAUUAGCUAGUUGGUGGGGUAAGAGCCCACCAAGGCGACGAUCGGUAGCUGGUCUGAGAGGACGACCAGCCACACUGGGACUGAGACACGGCCCAGACUCCUACGGGAGGCAGCAGUGGGGAAUUUUGGACAAUGGGGGCAACCCUGAUCCAGCCAUGCCGCGUGCGGGAAGAAGGCCUUCGGGUUGUAAACCGCUUUCGGCCGGAACGAAAUCGCCCGGGUGAACAUCCCGGGUGGAUGACGGUACCGGAAGAAGAAGCACCGGCUAACUACGUGCCAGCCGCCGCGGUAACAC